rnacentral:rRNA from 1 species
UACGUAGGGGGCAAGCGUUGUCCGGAAUUAUUGGGCGUAAAGCGCGCGCAGGCGGCCGUUUAAGUCUGGUGUUUAAACCCGGGGCUCAACUCCGGGACGCAUGGGAAACUGGACGGCUUGAGUGCAGAAGAGGAGAGUGGAAUUCCACGUGUAGCGGUGAAAUGCGUAGAGAUGUGGAGGAACACCAGUGGCGAAGGCGACUCUCUGGUCUGUAACUGACGCUGAGGCGCGAAAGCGUGGGGAGCAAACAGG